ensembl:misc_RNA Metazoa_SRP Metazoan signal recognition particle RNA
GCUGGGCAUGGUGAUGUACACCUGUAGUCCAAGCUCCUUUGGAGGCUGAGGCAGGAGGAUCACUUGAGCCCUGGAGUUCAAGACUGCAGUGAGCUAUGAUCACACCACUGCACUAUAGCCUGGGCAAGAGAGAGAGACCCUGUCUCUA